rnacentral:rRNA from 1 species
GAUGAACGCUGGCGGCGUGCCUAAUACAUGCAAGUCGAACGCACAGCGAAAAGUGCUUGCACCUUUCAAGUGAGUGGCGAACGGGUGAGUAACACGUGGACAACCUGCCUCAAGGCUGGGGAUAACAUUUGGAAACAGAUGCUAAUACCGAAUAAAACUCAGUGUCGCAUGACGCAAAGUUAAAAGGCGCUUUGGCGUCACCUAGAGAUGGAUCCGCGG